AAAUUGAAGAGUUUGAUCAUGGCUCAGAUUGAACGCUGGCGGCAGGCCUAACACAUGCAAGUCGAACGGUAACAGGAAGCAGCUUGCUGCUUCGCUGACGAGUGGCGGACGGGUGAGUAAUGUCUGGGAAACUGCCUGAUGGAGGGGGAUAACUACUGGAAACGGUGGCUAAUACCGCAUAACGUCGCAAGACCAAAGAGGGGGACCUUCGGGCCUCUUGCCAUCAGAUGUGCCCAGAUGGGAUUAGCUUGUUGGUGAGGUAACGGCUCACCAAGGCGACGAUCCCUAGCUGG
rnacentral:rRNA from 4 species